rnacentral:rRNA from 1 species
GACGAACGCUGGCGGCGUGCUUAACACAUGCAAGUCGAACGGUGACCUGGGGUGCUUGCACCUUGGUGAUCAGUGGCGAACGGGUGAGUAACACGUGAGUAACCUGCCCCUGACUCUGGAAUAACCCCGGGAAACCGGGGCUAAUACCGGAUAUGACACCAAUCCGCAUGGGUAUGGUGUGGAAAGUUUUUCGGUUGGGGAUGGACUCGCGGCCUAUCAGCUUGUUGGUGAGGUAGUGGCUCACCAAGGCGACGACGGGUAGCCGGCCUGAGAGGGCGACCGGCCACACUGGGACUGAGACACGGCCCAGACUCCUACGGGAGGCAGCAGUGGGGAAUAUUGCACAAUGGGCGAAAGCCUGAUGCAGCGACGCCGCGUGAGGGAUGACGGCCUUCGGGUUGUAAACCUCUUUCAGCAGGGAAGAAGCGAAAGUGACGGUACCUGCAGAAGAAGCACCGGCUAACUACGUGCCAGCAGCCGCGGUAA